rnacentral:rRNA from 1 species
AGUGAACGCUGGCGGUAGGCCUAACACAUGCCAGUCGAACGGCAGCACAGUAAGAGCUUGCUCUUACGGGUGGCGAGUGGCGGACGGGUGAGGAAUACAUCGAAAUCUACUUUUUCGUGGGGGAUAACGUAGGGAAACUUACGCUAAUACCGCAUACGACCUACGGGUGAAAGCAGGGGAUCUUCGGACCUUGCGCGAUUGAAUGAGCCGAUGUCGGAUUAGCUAGUUGGCGGGGUAAAGGCCCACCAAGGCGACGAUCCGUAGCUGGUCUGAGAGGAUGAUCAGCCACACUGGAACUGAGACACGGUCCAGGCUCCUACGGGAGGCAGCAGUGGGGAAUAUUGGACAAUGGGCGCAAGCCUGAUCCAGCCAUACCGCGUGGGUGAAGAAGGCCUUCGGGUUGUAAAGCCCUUUUGUUGGGAAAGAAAAGCAGCAGGUUAAUACCCCGCUGUUCUGACGGUACCCAAAGAAUAAGCACCGGCUAACUUCGUG